rnacentral:rRNA from 1 species
UGGAGGAUGUAUAGCAAUAGCUAGUUGCAUCAUAGUAAAUAUGAUGCAAGAUCGACUAUGUUGAAUAAAAUUCUAGGUAUGAUUAUGAUAAUGACAUUGUCUGCCUAUAUGUCUUGACCAAAUUACGUGCCAGCAGUCGCGGGAAUACGUAGAAGACCAGUGUUAUUCAUGUUUAAUCGGUUUAAAGGGUACCUAGACGGCAGAUCAAGCUUUCCGAGCAGAAAAAAGAAUAAAAAAGAAGAAAUAAAAACAGAAUAUAGUAAAAAGGACUAAUUUGCUAGAGUUACUUACGAUGGGGCUUUAAAGUACUGCUGGUGUAGAGAUGAAAUCCUAUUAUACCUAAGUUCGAAAGAAUAAUAAUGGCACAGGUAUAGGCGAAGGCAUCCCCUUAUGUGAUAACUGACGUUGAGGGACGAAGGCUUUUAACAGCGAACGGGAUUAGAUACCCCAUUAGUGGAAGCAGUAAAUGAUGAAUGUCAUAGAUUAGCUAGAUAGGUUCAUUCUAUAAAUGAAAGUGUAAGCAUUCCACCUCAUGAGUAAUAUGGCAACAUUGGAAUUGAAAUCAUUAGACCGUUUCUGAAACCAGUAGUGAAGUAUGUUGUUUAAUUUGAUGAUCCGCAAAAAACCUUACCACAAUUUGAAUAUAUAUAUUUUUUUUUUAUUGUAUCGCUAUUAAUUUUCUUCUCUUUACACAAACAUGACACAAUCAUAUAAGAAAUGAGGAAAUAUAUUAAUAAAGAAGCAAUAAGAUAUAUUUACAAGCGCUGCACGGUUGUCUUCAGUUAAUGUCGCGAGAUUUUGGUUAGAUCCAUUAAAUUAACGUAAACCCUUACUUUAUUUUUAGAUAGAGUUGUUCCCCACUAUAU